AGAUGAGAUAUUUUUUUUUUUUUUUGGUCUUCCUAGUAUAGAUGGAAUUUGUCAGCCUGCUAGUUGUGAUGUCACAUUGGUCCUGAGCAGAGAAGGUGAAGUGGGGAGAAGAAUGCUUUGUGGACAGGACAGGACAGAAAGUGUUGGGCAGAGUACCUUUUGGAUCCUUGGUUAAGACUGUUGAAGAUACAGACAUUCUUCUAGCGACUACAUAUAUUUUACUUCUGCACAGCUUUUAUUAUGUUUUUUUAACCUUCAGUACAUGGGAAGGCAGAGACUUGAAGAGAAGUGAAUCUCCUGUAACUUCAAAUAUGUAUCUGCCAAGAGAACAAAUCUGUGUCCAGAAGAGUUUGAUGUCAACUUUUCCUCUUGGACUUGGCAUUUCAUUGUUCAGUCAACGAUCUUCUUGAUUGUACAAGAUUUGACUCAAAAGCUGUGCUUACACCACAUAGAAAUGAAAGUUUACUGAGCUCAUGCUAGAUAGUGUUAGUUGCAUUCUUAAAAGCGG